GGGAAUUCGCGUGUGUUGCAACUAAAGGUGUGCGAAAUAUACCUCCUCUAGGAAAAAAUAGGUACUCGAUGAAGAAAGACAUGGGUUAGGUAGUACUACGUUUGGGUUGAGUGAAAUUUGCAAUAUUUUCGUCACGACUACGCCCCUAAUUUCGACGGCCAUAUAUCUUUGUAACUCCUCGAAAUAAGGGUCUGCCCUUUCAUUACCCUCGACCUCCCAUGGCGCACAUUGGAUGGGAUUGAACCCUUGGCCAACCAAUGAAUCGUUCCAAACAGAUUUCCCAGCUUAAGGAUUAACAGUGGAUAUUUCAUGCAGAAAAUUGUGUGGAAAACAGCUCGGACGAACGAUAAAAUGUCCUUCCCGGCCUCAGUAUCGAGCAAUAAAGCCUCGAAGAAGUGAUAGCGGCUAAUAGACACGUAAACAUCUUUAUUCCAGCUCGUGCGCACGUGAAAACGUUUCCAUUCAGCGUGCAGGCGUAAAUUAAUUUAAUAGUCAUCGUUGCAAAUGUUUUCCAAAGUGGAGUAUGUAAUCAGCGAGUAAUUACGAUAUCGAGAAUCGAAUAAGAGACAAGGAAAUAAAUUGUGCGGAUUAAGCGGAGAGAUGAAUGCAGCUACGGGACAUUGUUAUAAUUUCCAAAUCGACAAGCCGGUCAAUUUGUCACCACGGUUACGUAUAAGCAAAUUUACACACGGCAUCAAGCGUAGAUCAUUUUCCGCAGACAUCCGCAAGUGUCACGUUAAUUUCCAACGAUCGAUAAUUCAUCAUCUGGUCUAUUAACCCAUUCAGGAAUUAUUUUCACCCGAGAAUGACUCUUCGCUUAUGACGUUAGAAGUCUACAAAAUUAUAUCAGUUCUCAUCUUUAAUCGUUUAAUUAUAUUAGAAAAGAUAAUGAGUAUUCAGCAACAGAGCUGAA